rnacentral:lncRNA from 1 species
CUCAAACAGAAUCUUUUUCUCUCUCUCAUCCAUAACAGAAUCAAAACAGAAAAAACUCAGAAAAAAGAGGAAGAACACCAAGAACACCUCAUCACCAAAAUCAACAGAUCUAAACCGGAUCUGCUCAGAAUCAGCUCCAACCACCACAAAAUCAACAAAUCCGAACCGGAUUCACUCAAAACCACCGCGAAUCAUCACAUCAACACUAAAACAUACCGGAUUUUCGAGCAAAAACAACACCAACGGAGGAUAUAGCGCGCGCGCGAAAGAGAAGAGGAGAGAUUCGAAGUUUUCCGAAUAUCUUUUUUCUCCGUUCUACGACAGAGGUAACGCGUUUCUCCUUUCUUUCUAAGCCAUUUCCGCGCAUUUCUUGCUUGAAAAAAGUGUGAAAAAGUUUGUUACGGACAUGUAUUUGUAGAUCUAGGCUUGUACGUUCGGAUUUUAGAAAUUCCGAGACCGGAUUCGGACUCUAGAGAGAAAAGGAUAUCUAGAUCCGUAGUUUUUUUUCAAAAAAAGUGUGAAAAAUUUUCAAAGUAAAAACGUAGAUCUAGUCCGAAUCGCUCCGUUCUCGCUAAAACUAACGCCGGAUUUGUGUAGAGGAGGUGGUGACGGAACUUUUGAUGUAAAAAUUUUUAAAAAAAAAGUAGUUUGAAUUUUCCGGCGCGGUGGCGCCGCCGCCGGAACCACCACCACUCAUGCUCGCUGGCGGCGAGUUCCUAGAGAGAAGGGAGAGCUUCUCUCUCUAAGUGUGACUUAGAGAGAGAAGGAGAAGAAGUUUAUGUGAUUUUUGUGUGAAAUUUCCUUUAUAUACUCCCUCCGUUCCCACGCGCGCGCGUGCAUGUUUCUAUGGUGUUCCCUCGCUCUGUGAACCAUCAGAUCUGGAUUGUUCCAAGAUCUGAUGGCUGCUGUGUGUUUGAUUUUGAAUCCUGUGUAUGACUUUUUGUGUGGAAUAUGGUAUAUCUUCUGUUUGAACCGUUAGAUCUUUGAUCUAACGGUCACUGUGCUUCCUGCAUUUUACACUAUCUUUUGUGCUUUUUUUUGGACCCUUGGAUCUUUGAUCCAGUGGCUGUGAUGUGAUCUUGGGAGUUAGAUCUGGACCUCUGGAUUCAUCCAGCGGACCAGAUUAAAUCCUGCUGAGUCCUUUUUUUAAUUGCUUUUUAAUUGUGUUUUAAAUACUUUUUUACACUUUCUUGGCUAUUUUAUGCUCCUAAAAAAUUUUCUAAAAAUAUUUCCCUAUCAUUUAAUUUUUUCCUUCCAAGUGUUAGAAUUUAUUUGCUUAUUUUUGUCAUUUAUUUUCUUUACUUUGUUCUUUUAAUUCUUGCUCAUUAAAUUCCAUAUAUGUUCUUGAUGCAUUUUUUACAUAUUAUGAUAUUUUGGCAUGUGAAAUAAUGUGUGAAAAUAUCUCUAGGAAUAUGAUAUAAUGCUUUGCUUGUGUGUACUCUUAUGAUCCUCACAUUGUAGCUUAAAUUCAAACCUUUCAAAAAAUGGCUAUAAUGAGGGAAUUAUAGGUCAUAUGCAUGUAUGAGUGUUAUACCUAAAUUCUAGGUGUAUUUUUACCACUUUAUUUCAUUUCAUUACUUUUUUUUUCUCUCUUGCUAUUCUAUUCAAUUUUGUUUACCUUUCUACUAUUUUUAUGCUUUAUGAUACUAACCAUCUCAUCUCACAUUUCAUUCAUCCCAUAGUUUUGGCAUCAUUUUUCUAUUCAUUUCUAUAUCAAUUGGGUUUGUAAUAAUUUUAGAUAGAUUAGUUCCUUUUUAAAAUUCUUUGCAAGACCAUAGCAUGUAUCUAGGACUCAAUGUAAAGGACUAUGGACACUAUAAGUGAUGUACACCGACACGAGCACCGACACAUGCACACACCCCACAUGGAUGUUCUAGAUGCAUGAUUAGGGAAUGUAUGUUUAGAUGUAUGCCUAGGUUUUACAACGCUUAGACAAAAAAAUCAUUUUUUCAAAAAAUGUGAAUAACCUCACUUGAAAACUUUUUUUCUAAAAUAGGAGUCAAAACUCCUCAUUUUCCUUUUGUUUUCUUAAGUAAAAAUUUUUUUAAUAAAUUUUAAUCAUGCUUAGACUUUAUUUUGCAAAAUAACUACUUCCACCUCACUUUUUCCAAAUCUCAUGCCCUUGAGGCCUCUCACCUCCAUUCUUCAAAAUUCCUCUUUUCUUUUCAAACUUAAAAUCAACCAACAAAAACAAAAACAAUUUUCGAGAACGAACUACGUUUGGUUUUGAUCCCUUAAAAGGGUACGUAGGCAAUGAGUUAAAACUCCUCCAAGCCAAGUAAAAUAAAAUAUCAAUCAUCUUCUCUCCCCCAUUCUUCACUAAAAUAAAACUUCCUUUUUUAAAAUAAGUAGGCAAUAAAAAUAAAGCGUAGAAAUAAACUUAGGAGAACGGUUCUUAUGGAAUACCAUAAUCGUUCCGGGUGCCUAACACCUUCACGUAGCGAAAACGACCCCCGAACUUAGAAUCUAAGGGUUUUUUCUCAAUUUUGCCCUUCCCAAGAAAAAAUAGAGAAUAUCAAAGAUUGAAAGGUUCAAGCCUAAUUAAUGACUUGACAACCGAAAAUCGCGAUAACAAACCCGAUCCAAGGGGCAAGUGGACGCCUAACUAUGAAGGUCCUUAUGUUGUCAAGAAGGCCUUCUCCGGUGGUGCGUUAAUCCUUACACACAUGGAUGGUGUAGAACUUCCGAAUCUAGUGAAUGCCGACAUAGUCAAGAAAUACUUUGCCUAGAAAUAUGAAAAGAACAGCGUGGUAGGUCGAAAACCUGAAAGGGCGGCCUAGGCAAAAAUGCGCUUCCCGGUGGAUCGAAAACCCGAAAGGGCGGUCCAGGCAAAAAUAAGGGACAAAAAAAUAUAUGAAAAAGCUCGCUGAGAUUGUACACAACUCAGGCAAGAAUGAGCGUCUCGAUGAGACCGAAAACCCGGAAGGGCGGUUCAUGCAAAAAUGAGAUUGAAACAAAAGGCAAGUAACUAUAUCUGGCCAACCACCGUCUCCCGUUGGGGCAUCUGCAGCUGUUAAUGACUAUCUUCAUCAAAAGCUCCUACGCUUGUGAAUUCAAAGUUUCUAGGAAAUGUAAUGAUUGCUGUAUUCAAUGUACCACCAACCAAUAAAAUUACCAUUUUCCAAGCUUUGUAAAUCCGUGGAGUCACGCCUUCGGCUGACCACCACUCUUAUACAUCAAUUUGAGCCUGUGCUUUUGUUUGAAACUCUGUUUUCUUUUUACUUUCAAAGUUAUGUACAAAAAACAUUUUCCUUCUAUUUUAAUAAUGACAAAUGCUCGAAACAAACAUCUUGAAAAUUGAAAAAGUUUUUUUUUGAAAAGCAAACCUGAGCAACAGGGUACAUUCAAAUGAACAUGCAUGAGCGAGUGUGUGUUGGUGUCUAUUUCAAUAUAUGUUACAAGCAGGUUCUCCUCCAGGAUAGUCUGUGGUCAAUGGCAAGAAUGAAAAAACAGAAUGAAAAUGCAUGAAAAUGAAUAGGCUCGCUAAGUUGAAAACCCGGAAGGGCGGCUUAGGCAAAAAGGAGCACCCCGCUGGAUUGACAACCCGAAAGGGCAGUUCAGGCAAAAAUGGGGCAUUGAAAAGAAUUUAUUUCCCCGGUGGAUCGAAAACCCGAAAGGGCGAUCCAGGCAAAAAUGGGAUGCAAAAAAAAUGAAUGAAUGAAAAUUGAGAAAAUAACAUGCAAAAAGCAUUGACCACAGAUGCGACAUCCACGAUGCAUCCAGCAUUAUUCCCAGUAGAGUCUUCCGAGAUCCUAUCCCCAGCAAGUUGCAUAACUACCUGCCCUCAGCCAUGGUUCCGAUACGUCUCCCAACGACGUCAUCUCCAAAGAGGAUUUCCAAGAAUGUGUAAUAUAGCACGAGCCAUUACGUGCCCAAUGCUCCAGUGUCUUGUCUGUCUCUGCGGAAUUGUGUCUACAAAUCGCCAACAGUCAUGCAUUACAAACAUUCAUACAUGCAUAAUCAUGCAUAUUACGUGCCCAUGCAUUUAAUGAAAUUGUUAUAUCAUUCAUGCAUGUUGCAUUUCCAAUGUCAACAUCAGUCUCAACUCAAUACUCAUGUCAGGUUCUCUGUCAAAACCUUGUGAGCCAACAAUAUCGGUCAAUUUCUACCUUUCAAAUCAAAUCGACGUCAAGUCAAUUUCAACCUAUAUUUUGUCAAAAAAACUAAUCCCCUCUGAAUUUGUUUCUGUUCGGUCAAGUGGCUAGCUCAAGUCCAAGAACAGCUUGUACCUAUCAAUUUGCUUAUGUUAUCGGUCGAGUGCCCAGCUCAAUCCAAGAGCAGCUUGUACCUGUCAAUAUUUUCUGUUUGGUCAAGAUACCAGUUCGCAUCCAAGAACGACUUGUACCCGUUUACUUUUCAAUGUUAUCGGUCGAGUUACCAGUUCGAAUCCAAGAACAGCUCGUACCUGUCUAUGUGUCUAUGAUUUUGGUCAAGUGGCUAGUUCAAGUCCAAGAACAGCUUGUACCCGUCCAUCUGUUUCUGUUCGCUCAAGUGGCUAGCUCGAUCCAAGAGCAGCUUGCGCCUGUCUAUUUUGUCUUUGUCUCCGGUGGAGUAACCAGUUCGUAUCCAAGAACAAGCUCGCACCUGUCUAUUUGCCUUUGCUUUCAGUCGAGUGACCAGUUCGAAUCAAGAACAACUCGUACCUGUCUACCUUUUCUAUGUCCCCGGUCGAGUGACCAGUUCGAAUCCAAGAACAACUCGCACCUGUUUGUCCGCUUUUAUUCCAGGUCAAGUGCCCAGCUCAAUCCAAGAGCAGCUUGUACCCGUCAAUUUGUUCCUAGUCUCCUAUCUACCCUGUUAUCUGUUAUCUUGUCAAUGUCUACCAAUCCCGCAAUGGAUACGACAUCUUUUGUUAAUUCUAGCUUACGUUUGUCUCGCACUCAUAAUCCAAAUGUUGCAUGGCAUUCAUGAUAUUUGAAAAUGUACAAGCGUAUUUUUACGUCCAAACACAGUGCAAAUGUUUAUAUUUAAGUAUCUUCGUCCCGUCAAGCCAAAGACUCCGUCUCUUGACCCUCCAGACAAAGAAACUUGAAUAGGGGCAGCUGUUAUACCCUGAUUUUGGACCUAAAAAUAACUACGUUCAAAUUUCUUUUUUAACACUGAUAUUUGUCAAUUCUCUGUUAUUUUACUUCUGAAUCUUUACUCUCUUUUUAAACGUAUUUUACUGCCUCUGUCUUUUCUGACAUUACAAGUCAUUUGAAAAUUCUCUGAAUCAUUACAUUACUUUUCUUGCAUUUUAUUUCAAAAAUCAUACAAAAGGGUAUUUUGGUCAUUUCCUGCAGUGGAACCCAUUUUAGUCCCUGUGUUUGCCUCUGAGUCUUUUCAACUUGUCUGUACAAAUCAUUGUUGAGUCUUUGUUUAAAAAAUCAUUUCAAAAAUUGCAUCUGAGUCAGUUUGGGUCAGUUUAGUCCCUAGGGGCAUUUUGGUCUUUUCCUGUCAAAAUUUCGGCAGGGAGGUAUUUUAAAAUACCUCAUGUCAGUAAUUGGUUCGUUUUAGUCCUUUUGUUAAUUUUAUUUUUGGUUUCGCUUUACGUUGCGUCAAAUUUACUUUUUAGUCCAAUUUUAUUUUUUUUAAUUGCAUUUUUGUCCAAUACUUUUUUUAAUUGCAUUUUUUUUAGUCUUUUUUUUUAUUAUUGCAGAUUAGUCCUCAUAUUAACUUUUUUGCAGAUUAGUCCUUAAGUCCAAAACAGUCCAGGUGUCAAUUUUUCAUUGGGUCUCCGAUACACAUGGCAGGCUAUAAAUAGUAAAUGUGUCAGAUCCAUCACAAUCAGUCAGAAAAAAAAAAUCAGAAUCAAUCACAAUCAGUCUCAAACAGAAUCUUUUUCUCUCUCUCAUCCAUAACAGAAUCAAAAACAGAAAAAACUCAGAAAAAAGAGGAAGAACACCAAGAACACAUCAUCACCAAAAUCAACAGAUCUAAACCGGAUCUGCUCAGAAUCAACUCCAAUCACCACAAAAUCAACAAAUCCGAACCGGAUUCACUCAAAACCACCGCGAAUCAUCACAUCAACACCAAAACGUACCGGAUUUUUGAGAAAAAACAACCACAAACGGAGAAAACGCGCGCGCACGGAGAGGGGAAAAAGGGAGAUUCGAAGUUUUCCGAAGAUUUUUCUCCGUUCUACGACAGAGGUAACACAUUUCUCUCCUCUUUUCCUUCAUUUUCGCGCGCA